GCCCUCGUGAUGGAAUGGUAGACAUAACAGACUUAAAAUCUGUGGGCUUUUAAACGCCGUGGCGGUUCAAGUCCGCCCGAGGGCACCA
rnacentral:tRNA from 1 species